rnacentral:tRNA from 1 species
CAGGGAAUAGUUUAUUUAAAAUAUUAAUUUUGGGAAUUAAUGAGAAGGUUUUACCUUUUCUCUGA